rnacentral:lncRNA from 1 species
AGGUAGUGGAAGUGGAGUAACACCAGAGGUUGAUUAUCCUCUCUCCUUAAAACCAAAGAUUACUAUUGAACGCUGUGAGGAAAAGGGAUACUCAGUAGUUAGUGUCCAUUGCAAGGAUCGAGCUAAACUUANNNNNNNNNNNNNNNNNNNNNNNNNNNNNNNNNNNNNNNNNNNNNNNNNNNNNNNNNNNNNNNNNNNNNNNNNNNNNNNNNNNNNNNNNNNNNNNNNNNNNGCUCAGAACUUUUUUCUCUUUUUGGAAAUAAUAGAAUGUAUGUCAGGAUUCUCUUCCUCCGUGAAAUAAUAAAUUUGAACAACUAAAUGUUUUAAUAGUUUAAGGUAGUAAGAAAUAAUUUAAAUUAAUUAUUUAUAUUCUAACAUGUAAUAUCAUAUUAUAAGCCCAAAAUAUCAGUACUCAAACAAUCUUCAACGGUUAUGCUAAGAAGAAAAUCCAUUUUGGAUUUAAAUAAUUUCAACGACUCAAUGGUUUUUUGUUCUGGAAAAACUGAAAAGUCACUUUUGGAAGUUUUGCACAAGUAAUAAUAAAAAAGAAUAUGGUAUAAAUGGGAGAAAAAGCUAUUAGUCACAGAUCUAAUAUUAAGCACUCUAUACUUUUGGCUAUUUCAGUUUUGUCAUCUGUAACUAAUAAUGGAAUUGUUUACAUACAACCUGUGCAAAAGGAUAUUAAGAUGAGUCUAGAAAGCAUUAGGUUCAAGUCACUGAACAACUUGCUACUAAGCAUAUAUACCAGAAAAGCCACACUUUUGAUCUAGCAUGUAGGCCAGAAAAUAACCUAAGCCCAUUCAGCAAAAUUAAAGCUUUUAUCAAAGAGUUGCCACUAUCAUAAUCCUUCCGAUUGGAAGAAUCGAAGAAGAUAAGGAAUGAAUCUUUAAAGACUAUCAACAUCAUAGUUCAAUUCUGAAAACUUAUGCUUUCUUUUCACACAACAAAAAAAAGAGAGAGAGGAAGUUCCUUAGAGAGAGAGAGAGAGAGGAAAAAAAGGAGAAACAUUCAGCUGCUAGCAACGUGGAAGGGGCUUAAUUUUCCCAACUGCCCUGAUCUAUAAAUCUCUGUCUAACCAGAGUCUUUUAGACAGAACAGGAACCAAAAAAGUAAUCAGAACCUAUGGACAAGGAAUCAGAACUUUAAGAUCAAAAAUGGAAAUUUCUGAAGAGGCUUAUCAAUUUAUGGAUAUUGACUACAAAGUAAAUGAAUUUCACAAAAUUUCUAAAUUGGUUCCAAACAUAGCCUUAAACUAUUUUUCUUUAAUAAUUUUUAUGUACAUCUUAAUUGAUUCUACUGAUCUCAGGGUCUAAGCCUAGAACUCUGUGCAAAAGAUAGAGUAGGCUUGCUGUCUGAAGUAACAAGAAUUCUGAGGGAGAAUGGAUUAUCAGUUACAAGAGCAGGUGUGACAACAAUCGGGGAGCAAGCUAUGAAUGUAUUCUAUGUGAGAGAUGCUUCAGGGAAUCCAGUAGACAUGAAGACCAUCGAAGCACUACGUAAAGAAAUUGGACACACCAUGAUGCUUAAUGUGAAAAAGGUUCCAUCCAGUGCAAAGGCACCAGCUGAGGCCAAGGGAUGGGCUAAAGUAAGCUUCUUCUUUGAGAAUUUGUUGGAAAAGUUCUUGGCUUGAAAAUCAUGUGGAUAUGACUUACAGAUGUACCGUAAUGUAUAUAAUCAUAAUUCCGUUCUGAAACAAAUAAGGGCAAAGCCUAUCAUGUAUAAAAUGUGUGACGGUGCAGGUUAAAGCUAAGGCUUUGGAGCUUCUAAGUUGUUUCAUGUCGAAUAGAACUGAAGCAAGAAGCUUGCUUAGUUUAUUGGAACUUAUGACUUGACCAAGUAUACUAUUUGACUUAGAAUGGCAGUAAGUGAAUUUGAAAGAUAAGAGAGGUUUGCUUGUUCCUAAAAGUAUUAUUUGUUUUUCCUUUUCAGAAAGCAUGUGAAGUACAACUAGAAUAAGGGUCUACGGUCAACAUUCAGGUAAGCAACACAGUGCAACAAUGUUGAAGAGACUUCGCAAUCACUCAAUCCAUUAUAGUAGUUGAAAUAAUAUCCAAAAAUGAAGCACGAAUAGUUCUGUAGACAGUAAAGUUUUCAAAGCCCUAAGUUUCUAGAAUAUAAAUCAUUAAGAAUGCAGUAGAAAGUGGGUUAAAUUAUUUACAAGAUAUUCAAGAUAAAACUGGAGUGAACUUGGUUCAAACACAUAAAGAAUAUUGUUCUCGAGGCAGCGCAUGUAGAAAGUAUCCAAAUAGAUAAGGUGAAGCCUAUUCAUAGAGCAGCGUACAGCAACCAAUAACACCAUCAUCAAUGUCAAUGUCAAUGUACGUGUAUAUUGUCUGCAAUUUCACGGCUAUAUCAUAUUCCUAUGGAAAAAUAUACGCCAACCGAUCGCUUAACGAACAGCCAUGUCCAGAAGGUUUGCUUGGCAGGAUAUACAUAAUACAAGUAAGCAAUAAUUGAUAACUGAACAGUUUUGAAAAGAAAAAUAAAUGGAACAGACAAUUAAGCAGACAAGUCCAAAUUCUUCUAUAACCCAAAACAAUAACAAAGAAUUCUUCAGCAACUAAAAUAAUUGGAACUCUCUCACAAUCACGUAAUCCACUUCCAAAGAGUGGUUCGUUUCUUUAAAAGCUGGAAGGGAUUAGGGAGCACGGUUUAUCCCCUCCGUGUCCCCUUGUCUACGGAGAGAGCCAUCCAAGAUAAGAAAAGUAGAAUUGAGAUUUGAAACUUAGGAGAAAAACGAUUGGAAAGAAGAGAAAAACAAUUCCGUCAAUAAAAGGAAUAUACCUGUGACGAAAAGCAGCGCAGAAUCCAUAAACAAAUCUAGGGAAGGAGACUGAAGCUUUUUGGAGGGAAAUAAUGCAACUUUGUUCUCCGCGCAAGAGACAGAAGAGACGCAGAGACGGAGUGAAAAAGGACCAACUGCGGAGCGCUGAUGCGUUUUUGGUCAUCGUUCUUCUUUUUGAG